rnacentral:rRNA from 1 species
AGUGAACGCUGGCGGUAGGCCUAACACAUGCAAGUCGAACGGCAGCACAGUAAGAGCUUGCUCUUACGGGUGGCGAGUGGCGGACGGGUGAGGAAUACAUCGGAAUCUACUUUUUCCUGGGGGAUAACGUAGGGAAACUUACGCUAAUACCGCCUUCGACCUACGGGUGAAAGCAGGGGAUCUUCGGACCUUGCACGAUUGAAUGAGCCUAUGUCGGAUUAGCUAGUUGGCGGGGUAAAGGCCCACCAAGGCGACGAUCCGUAGCUGGUCUGAGAGGAUGAUCAGCCACACUGGAACUGAGACACGGUCCAGACUCCUACGGGAGGCAGCAGUGGGGAAUAUUGGACAAUGGGCGCAAGCCUGAUCCAGCCAUACCGCGUGGGUGAAGAAGGCCUUCGGGUUGUAAAGCCCUUUUGUUGGGAAAGAAAAGCAGCAGGUUAAUACCCCGCUGUUCUGACGGUACCCAAAGAAUAAGCACCGGCUAACUUCGUG